GGACGAACGCUGGCGGCGUGCUUAACACAUGCAAGUCGAACGGAAAGGCCCUGCUUUUGUGGGGUGCUCGAGUGGCGAACGGGUGAGUAACACGUGAGUAACCUGCCCUUGCCUUUGGGAUAACUUCAGGAAACUGGGGCUAAUACCGGAUAGGAGCUCCUGCUUCAUGUUGGGGGUUGGAAAGUUUCGGCGGUUGGGGAUGGACUCGCGGCUUAUCAGCUUGUUGGUGGGGUAGUGGCUUACUAAGGCUUUGACGGGUAGCCGGCCUGAGAGGGUGACCGGCCACAUUGGGACUGAGAUACGGCCCAGACUCCUACGGGAGGCAGCAGUGGGGAAUAUUGCACAAUGGGCGGAAGCCUGAUGCAGCAACGCCGCGUGCGGGAUGACGGCCUUCGGGUUGUAAACCGCUUUCGCCUGUGACGAAGCGUGAGUGACGGUAAUGGGUAAAGAAGCACCGGCUAACUACGUG
rnacentral:rRNA from 1 species